ACUUAGCACCCAGCCUGAGGCAGGCUCCAGCCCAGGACCCUGAGAUCAUGACCUGAGCCAGAAUCAAGAGUCAGAUGCUUAACUGACUGACCACCCCGGCGCCCCAGAGAGAUGUUUUUUUCUUACAAACAGCGGGAAAAGCUCCUCUGGGACUGGACGUGAAUCCUGCAUCUGUGUGAUCCCCCAGGAGGCACUGAGCCCUCCAGACGCCCUGGUUCUGCAGCUGCAGCCAGACCUGCCGGAGCUCUCAGUGAUUUGCAUAUUUUCUCCAGAGCCCAUUUCUGCUCCUCAGAAUCCCAUGAAUAGGCUGCUCAGACUUUCGGGGCAAAAAAGAGCCUCAGGCAGGGCCUUGACUCGAACAUGGGUGUCCUGACCGAGCUCCUCUGCCUUCUGCUGUCCUGCCUCCCAGCUGUCCGCGGGAGUACUAGGCUGAUCCAGUCUCCCGCCUUCCUCUCCGUGUCCCUGAGAGAGAGCGUGUUCAUCACCUGCAGGGCCAAUGACAGCAUCAGCGAUUACUUGAGCUGGUAUCAGCAGAAACCAGGCCAGGCUCCUAAGCUUCUCAUCUAUGACGCCGAUAACCUAGGUUCUGGUGUCCCAGACCGGUUCUCUGCGAUUCAGUCUAAGACAGAAUUCAUCCUCAAAAUCAGCACAAUAGAGGCUGAGGAUGCUGCCAGUUAUUACUGCCAGCAGGAUUAUACCCUCCCUCCCACCGUGCUACAGCCCUGAGCAAAAACCUUCCCCCUGGGCUGGUUGGCGGGGGAGGGCAGUGGUUCCAGCAGCUGCGCUCUGCUCUGUGCUAUGUUCAUUGUCGCAGGGGCUGCUUUGGGAGAAGGGCUUGCAGGGCUCAAGGGUCACGGCCUGCAAGAACUUUGUCCUUCAAAAGCUUCCUUUUUGCACUACAUAGAACAACCAAACCUUCAGCGAAUUCUAUCAGGGAGGCUUCUUUUUUUGUUUUUUUUAUUUUAUUUUAUUUUAUUUUAUUUUAUUUUAUUUUAUUUUAUUUUAUUUUAUUUUAUUAUAUUAUGUUAAUCACCAUACAGUACAGUAUCAGGGAGGCUUCUAAGUCAGGCCUGCAAAGGACUUUGUCUGCAGCGUCGUCUUCUCUGAGAAACACUCUGCCGGGUUUUUGUUUUGUUUUAAGACAGAGAACCAAGCAGGAAAAGGAGCCUAUAUCCAAGAAAAUAUUCCUCCUAAUCCUACUAAUAAUCAUAAUAGUAAGAAUAGCAGUAAUAGUACUGAUGACGGUAAAGCGUGACAGUAAUUACUCUGCCAGUUGCCGUUUGCUGAAGUCUUGGAGACGUGCUCUGUGCUCGACGCGGCACCAAGGCCUUACUCAUCCAGAGCAAACAGUCACACAAUCAGCCUCUAGCGACGAGAAAUCAGGGGUUCUCCGAGCUCUGGUUCCUCAAGGCACCAGUGCUUUAGGGAAGAAGAUGGGGGGAAAAAUUAUGAUUUUCAGACUCCUAAGUCCUAUUCCUUAAUUAACUCAUUCAUUCAAAAAGUAGAUAAUAUUAAAUGCAGUCAAGUGAAAUUCCUGUAUAUAAAGUGAAAUUAAAUAUAUACCUAGAUGAAUAUACACAUGAUCAUAUCCUCCUUUAACUGCUACACAGUCUGGAGGGCUGCUGCCUCCAACAUCCCAAAGGCUCCUCACGCCCCUUGCAGUCCCAUCCAUACUCCAGCCCCCGCCUAGCACCAGCGGCCACCAGGGCUCUGUUUCCUGGUCUUAAACUUCACAUAAAUGACAUCAGACAGUAUGUACUUUUCAGGUUCCUUUGACAACAUGUUUUUCGAACUUCACUCGUGUUGUUGGUGUGGCCAUAAUUUAUUCCUUUUUACAGCAGGAAAGUUCUCUAGUAUAUGAAUCUAUCACAAUUCAUUUUUCAAUCUAUGAGUUCUUCUAGAUUGGAGGCUGUUAUAAAGAUUUAGGAACAUUUUUGCAAUGUCUUUUGUGGACUUACACACUCCCUUCCCUUGGGAACAUUCCUCAGAAUGGAAGUGCUGAAUCAUGUAGGUUUGGCUUCAGUAAACAAUGGUCGUCUCUAUUUCUGCCCCAUCAACUGUGAGUACAAGUUCCAGUGCCUGUAAAUCGUGGCAUUACUUGGUGUUGCCACACUUUUUAUUAUAAUCAUAUUGGUAGAUCUUGAGUGGUAUUGUAGUUAAAACGUAGAUUUCCUUGAUGAGUAACGAUGUUGAGUAACUUUUCAUAUGUUUUUCAUUAGCUAUUUUGAUAUCUUGGGAAACACCUGUUCAAAACAGAUAUAGAUGAUAGAUAGAGCGGUGAGAGAGAGAGAGAUUAUCUUUUGUUAUAUACUCUGAAAAGUAUCUUUUGUCAAAAACAUGCAUUGGAAAAUCUUCCCCAAGUUUAGGAAUGUCUAUUAACUUUCUUAAUGAUAUAUUUGAAAAUAAGUUUCAAAUCUCGAUGGGGUCUAAUUUAUCCAUUUUUUUUCACCUUAUCUUUGUGUGUGUCUAUGUGUGUUCCACAUAAUAAAUAUGUGUC